rnacentral:rRNA from 1 species
CAGUCGCCGCGGUAAUACGUAGGUGGCGAGCGUUGUCCGGAAUUAUUGGGCGUAAAGGGAGCGCAGGCGGACAUAUAAGUCCAUCUUAAAAGUGCGGGGCUCAACCCCGUGAGGGGAUGGAAACUGUAUGCCUUGAGUGCAGGAGAGGAAAGCGGAAUUCCCAGUGUAGCGGUGAAAUGCGUAGAUAUUGGGAGGAACACCAGUGGCGAAGGCGGCUUUCUGGACUGCAACUGACGCUGAGGCUCGAAAGCCAGGGGAGCGAACGGGAUUAGAUACCCCAGUAGUCCCUGUCUCUUAUACA